AAAGAAUUAGUUAAAUUAUAACAUAAAUAUGUCAAAUUUAAAUUAUUAUUAUACCAAAUAAUAUUCUUUU
rnacentral:tRNA from 1 species